rnacentral:rRNA from 1 species
GACGAACCGUGCGAACGUUAUUCGGAAUCACUGGGCUUAAAGCGCGUGUAGGCGGGACGGCACGUCGGUCGCUGAAAGCCCCCGGCUCAACCGGGAACGGGCGCCGAUACGACCGCCCUGGAGGGACGUAGGGGGACCUGGAACUUCCGGUGGAGCGGUGAAAUGCGUUGAGAUCGGAAGGAACGCCCGUGGCGAAAGCGAGGUCCUGGACGUUUUCUGACGCUGAGACGCGAAAGCCAGGGGAGCGAACGGG